rnacentral:rRNA from 1 species
CCUACGGGAGGCAGCAGUAAGGAAUAUUGGUCAAUGGAGGCAACUCUGAACCAGCCAUGCCGCGUGCAGGAAGACAGCCCUAUGGGUCGUAAACUGCUUUUAUACGGGAAUAAACUUUGAUUCGUGAAUCAAGCUGAAUGUACCGUAAGAAUAAGGAUCGGCUAACUCCGUGCCAGCAGCCGCGGUAAUACGGAGGAUCCAAGCGUUAUCCGGAUUUAUUGGGUUUAAAGGGAGCGUAGGCGGCCUAUUAAGUCAGGGGUGAAAGACGGUGGCUCAACCAUCGCAGUGCCUUUGAUACUGAUGGGCUUGAAUAUAGUUGAGGUAGGCGGAAUGUGACAAGUAGCGGUGAAAUGCAUAGAUAUGUCACAGAACACCGAUUGCGAAGGCAGCUUACUAAGCUAUGAUUGACGCUGAGCGUCGAAGACGUGGGAGUACAACAGAGUAGUAUACCUACGUAGUACCGACCGACCCGUAACCGAACUAGAUAACUACGUAUGUUGGUCGG